rnacentral:rRNA from 1 species
AUGACGGAGCGCAUCGGCACGUUGGCAUAUCGCCUGAACUUGCCACCGGACAGCCGCAUCCAUCCCGUCUUCCACGUCUCGCAACUCAAGCCGUUCGUCCCCGACUACACUCCAGUCUUCGCGGAGCUGCCCAAGAUACCCGACCUCACGGCCGCCGACCGCGUUCCGACUGCCAUUCUGGACCGCCGCAUGAUGGAGAAAGGCGACGCCCCAGUCAUCCAAGUACAGGUGCAGUGGAGCACCAUGCCGCCGUCGUCUGCGACCUGGGAGGACUACGACGUGCUCCGGCAGCGUUACCCGGAUGCACCCCUUUGGACGGAGGAGGAUCAAGCUGCUCAAGAGGGGGCAAAUGUCACGCCUGCAGAUCAGCCUGCAGCGGACUAA